GCCUCACAUCAUUUGAGGUGGGAGGUAGAUACUGCUGUCAUACCUAUUUUACUGAUGAGGAAACUGAGGUUCAGAGAGGUUGAGAAAAUUGGACAAGUUUUCAUAGCUAGUGAGUUGAAUUUCAGGCAGUCCAGCUCCAGACUCCAGACUCUUAACUUUGUAAUGCAUAGUUGAUGCUGGAAUUAGAUCAAGUGGUUACUGGAGUAUAAAUGAAUGAUUUCUGUUGGACUUUCUGAAACAAUGACAAAGCACAUAGACAUCCAUUACUGCUCUGGGGACACCUAAGUAGAAGCCUCUACUCUAAAACUUAGAAUGCUUAUUAGUAUCCUGAGCCUUGCGUUGAAUAAAUGUGGCAUUCUCCACAUCACCCUCUGGGAACCCGGAGAACGCUAAGGCGUGAUCAGAUACAACCACAACAUGGUAACUGGGAACACGCAGAACGGGGCAGCCUUACCAAGGGUGCUUACAACCUAAGCAGAGUUUCAUUUCUAAAAGCUGGGCUUAUUUCAAAGAGAAACACCUCACCCAAUAGUCUAUUAUCCUGCAAAUAUGUAUUCAAGGACAUAUGAGUAAUUCUAUUUACCUAAUCAUCGCUAAUGGCUACUUUGGAUCUAUGACAGCUGACCGUGUAAACACGGCUCUUCGAUCCUUCUCGCGGUGCGAUGCUGCUCCCCAGACCAGCACAGCUUCUUCAGGGAACAGGAUUUCCUAGAAGCAAAAUCUGAUGCGUAUCAGACAGGGCUCAGGGUGCUAUAGGAGUUUAUUAGGUCAUUUCAGAUUGUUCUCCUCGGAGCUAAAUGUCAGAAUAUACCAGGGAAUUUGGGCACCACUAAAAUCUUAAUAUCAAUAAAUGUAAAACCUAAACGUUGAUUUUUUAAAAAUGAGAACAGGGUCAGCAUGAUUCUUCAUGGGCAAUAAAUAGAUAAUAGGCAAGGGGAAGUAAUUUAAAAGGAGUUUGUGCAGCCAAACCAAAUACACUAGGUAGCAAAGUUAUGACAAUGCUGAUUACUACACAGCAAAAUCGAAAUUGUCGAUCCUGUCCAGCGGGAGCACAGACGUGAUCCCAGCAUAUCAGGGCGUGCUGAGGGAUGAUGAGCUUGGCUGGUGCCGUGGGCCUCUUACCCACCUCCGUGAUCCAGCUUCGCGUGGAGUCCCCUCUCCCUUGCUGUGUCAGUGGGAGCACAGCACACUCCCGAGGCCCUGCUCCCCUCCUGUGUUCGUGUGCCAGGCCUGCUUUGACCCAGUGCCCGAACGGGGUGGUUUCAAACAACAGAACGGACCUGCCUCACAGUUCUGGAGGCAGGAAGUGUGAAAUCCAGGUUCCAGCAGGGCCCUGCUCCCUCGGAGGUCUGUGUGUGUGUGUGUGUGGGGGGUCCUUCCUUGCCUCUUGCAGCUUCUGGGGGUGGCCAGCAACACUUGGCCUUCCUCGGAUCACAGCCGCCUUGCUCCAGUCUCUGCCCCUGUGGUCACGUGGCCUUCUCUCCUCGUGCGUCUGCACAGGGCGUUCUCCCUGUCUCUCUCUGCCCUUCUUAUGAGGAUGCCAGUCAUGUGGGGUCAAGGGCCCACCCUAAUCCAGUAUGACCUCUUCUUCACUAAUUACGCCCUCAAGGAUCUUAUUUCCAAAUAAGGUCACGUGUGAGGUAGUGGGGGUUAGGACUUUGACAUGUCUUUCUGGGGGACACAAUUCAACCCAUAAUAGCCCCCUUCCCUUGCCUGAGACCUUCUCCUGUCGCUCCUUGCUCUGGGUUUGUAUGGCCUGUAGGCCUCUGCUCCUCAUUUGCACCUGUACCACUUGUCUGUUCCUCACCACGUCCACCUCACAUCAUUGGCUGUUAUCAGAUGCUGUGUGUCUGGUCUCCGGAAUUUUAUUGUAAACUCUCUGAUUUCUAAAGAAUUCUCCCUCAAAUUUAUAUCCACAAGGCACUUAAAACAGUGAUGUGAUAUCAGCAGCACCUUCUACUUUUAGAGUAACUUUAUACUUUUCAGAAUUCUUUCACAAUAUAAUCUAACAUGUGCUCUCAAGCUGCUGGUGUGGUGGACUGGAUUGCUGACAUUAUCCUGGUUUUAUGUCCGAGGGAGGUAAGAUUCAGAGAGGUAAGGUGACAGAGUGAAAUAAUGAGCCGCAUGGCUUGGGCCAGUCCCAGCUGCCUUUCAUUGAAAAAUUUCUUCUUCCUCCCUUCAUUCCCUACAGCUUGAUUAUUAAUGAGCCAAGAGUGCCUCUGGAAAGAGAAACACCCUCCUUCCUCUGAAGGCAAAGUGAGUGAGAGGAGAGAGAGAGGAAAAUGCCUGUGAAUCCAGAGUCUGCCUUUUCCACGAGCACGAGCAGGCUCCGGGAAGGAUACCGGACACAAAGGCAAGGAGCCCAGGCCCUGGAAUUUCACUAAGCACUGUUUACCUUGGACGGCAGGCUUCAGCGCAGUGCUGGACGCUGACAGGUUCAAGCCACACCUCUGCCCCAGCUGCCUUGUUCUGUCCUAUCACUGGGGAGAAAUCCAAAAUACUUGUUUGUCCACCCAGUGCUGCCAAAUGCUUUCCUUUAUAGGAGCUUGAGGUCGAGGCUGGGAGAGUGAUGGAACCAGCCAGGAGAAGCCCCCCCAGUGAAACUGAGCUCAACUGUCCUGGGCUUUCUUCAAAGGGUCGAUGCUGGCCGUUCACAAAUCUCCUGAAAAGAAACUUUUGGCCAAAGACAAAAAAUUCUGGCUUCUCUAAGGAGCAGAUUAAAAGGUGCAACACAGUAGAACACAAAGGUCCCUGGGCCGGUGAUGAGGAGGUUUCAGUUGCACUAACUAGGGCUGCUCGCCUUGAUUCCUCUCGGUUACGUCUGGACAGUGAAGCCACAGAAGUCAAUAACGUGGAAGACCCCGCUCGUUUUCACACUGUGAGAGUCUGUGAAGUUUUCUGGCUUCAGCAAUGUGUUUUCUUUUCUGUUAAGCUAAAUUUUGAAGUUAAAAAAAGUCGUGCAUGUUAAGACAGUGACAUUAAUUUGUAAUCAAACGAUAAAAUUACACUGCGUGUUAGUUCAGAAACAAUGAGUUGUGGGCUUUAACAAGUUUUAAUUCCAUUGCUUUUUAGCUACCAAAUUUAGAUGUUGGGUUUCUAUCAGUAAUAAAAGACCAACAACCCAAUGGAAAAAAUCAGGAAAGGAUAUGAAUGGACUGCUCACAGAUAGGAAAAUAUGAACAGCUCUUCGACACGUGAAAAUAUGUUCAGCUUCAUUCAUAAUAAGAUAAAUGCAAAAUAAAACUAGUCUGUGUUAUCCUUUA